AUUGAACGCUGGCGGCAUGCUUUACACAUGCAAGUCGAACGGCAGCGCGGGCUUCGGCCUGGCGGCGAGUGGCGAACGGGUGAGUAAUACAUCGGAACGUGCCCAGUAGUGGGGGAUAGCUCGGCGAAAGCCGGAUUAAUACCGCAUACGACCUGAGGGUGAAAGCGGGGGAUCUUCGGACCUCCCGCUAUUGGAGCGGCCGAUGGCAGAUUAGCUAGUUGGUGGGGUAAAGGCCUACCAAGGCGACGAUCUGUAGCUGGUCUGAGAGGACGACCAGCCACACUGGGACUGAGACACGGCCCAGACUCCUACGGGAGGCAGCAGUGGGGAAUUUUGGACAAUGGGCGAAAGCCUGAUCCAGCAAUGCCGCGUGUGUGAUGAAGGCCUUCGGGUUGUAAAGCACUUUUGGCGGGAACGAAAAGGACUGUGCCAAUACCACGGUUCGAUGACGGUACCCGCAGAAUAAGCACCGGCUAACUACGUG
rnacentral:rRNA from 1 species